CUGAUGCCCAGUGAAAUGGUGGAACCUGACAUAUUCCCUGGUCAACUACAAGAAAAGAAUGACAAGACAGGUGACUGAUGCCCAGUGAAAUGUUGGAACCUGACAUAUUCCCUGGUCAACUACAAGAAAAGAAUCACAAGACAGGUAACUGAUGCCCAGUGAAAUGGUGGAACCUGACAUAUUCCCUGGUCAACUACAAGAAAAGAAUCACAAGACAGGUGACGGAUGCCCAGUGAAAUGGUGGACCUG